rnacentral:lncRNA from 1 species
AUUGGAUCUAUUUUAAUGAGCUUGUGUGCCUGAGAUUGAUUCAAAUUUUUUAACCUGUUUCCUUUCUAAUGACCCACUUGAAACCCGCACACGCUGGGAAACCAAAAGGCCCUACGCAAGCACGCUUGGAGCAGAAACCAAGCUGACGAGAAAAAUCAAGAGACACGAAGCAAGAGAAUCAAGCAUCCAAGUUGAAGAGGAUGAUCCUCCAUCGCAAGAUUUCUAUGCGAAAUAGGUAUGGGUAUUCCAAGGUGUGGUUGUUUCAAAAGAGCCAUGGGUUAUUAUUUUGGGGAUUCUGUGAUAAGUUUUGAUUUGAGUUCUAAUGGGUAAUUCUUAAUAUAUGUGUUCUGAUGGGUAAUUCUUUAUUUCGGUUAUAAUGAUGAAUUCUGGAUAUAGGUUCUAAUGGGUAGUUCUUUAUUUGGGUUCCAUUGAUGAAUUCUUGAUAUAAGUUCUAAUGGGCAAUUUUUAGUUUGUGUUCUGAUGGUAAAUUUUUUAUUUGGGUUCUAAUGAUGAAUUCUUGAUUUGAUCAAAAUCUGAUCCUACACUUUUCUGCGCUCCACAGAGUUACUAUACACUCAUUUAAUCAAUAGAAAUUUAUGAAAUAUUCCUGUAAUUAUAAUGUUCUUAGGAGCAUAGCAUAGACGAAUCAAAUUCAGGUUUUUUUUGUUCCUUGAAAUCAAUUAGGAGCAGAGACUUUGAACACAUAUGUCAACAACAAAAAAGAAAAGCAAUUGCUAUUAUUGGUAGAAAAAGAUAAAUCCAGCUAAUGAGCUAUUCAUUUGGUUUCUCAAUUGUUCUUAUGGUUGUAGUGAAACCAUACUAGAAUUGUAGUCUCAUUUUUUCUGUUUUGUUUUGUUUUGUUUUGUUUUUUUUUCUUGCAUUGCAGGUUUUUAAUGGAGUAGUCUUGUUCGCUUAUGCCAGCCUUGAUGUUGGACCAUCUGCUGUACUUUGGAUUUAACAUCUUUCGUGGUGUUUGUUUUACUGUCAUGGAACUUCUCAUUCAAGUGAUCAUGUUUGUGGUACUUUUUGGGUUGGAUAUAUACUUUUAUGUUUAGAUGAUAGUUCUUAGGGCCAACUUGUGCAAUUUAUUGAAGUUAAUAAUCAAUUUAAGGACCACUUGCUCUCAAGCAAUUCUAUGUGAAAAGGCUAUUUGAAUACAUUUGAUAUAUGAC